rnacentral:rRNA from 1 species
GAUGAACGCUAGCGGCAGGCUUAACACAUGCAAGUCGAGGGGCAGCGCGGAGUAGCAAUACUCUGGCGGCGACCGGCGAAAGGGUGAGUAACGCGUGAGCAACAUACCCGUUUGAGGGGGAUAGUCAUUGGAAACGAUGUGUAAUACCCCGUAACACAUGAGACCGCAUGGUUUUAUGUUGAAAGAUUCAUCGCAGACGGAUUGGCUCGCGUCCCAUUAGGUAGUUGGCGGGAUAACGGCCCACCAAGCCGACGAUGGGUAGGGGUUCUGAGAGGAAGGUCCCCCACAUUGGAACUGAGACACGGUCCAGACUCC